AGAUGCUCAGAGGCUUGAAGUGUUUUAUAGUCGUAACCAGCAGCUGAAGGAGGAAAACAAAAAACUGCAGGAAGCUGUCAGUCAUUUGGAGGAAAGGCUCCGAGCAAGGGAGUGCGAUCGAUGUGCCACCUUAGGGGAGGAGCUGAAAAACAAGGAGGAUCAGCAUCGGAGUCUAAUCACUAAAAUGA